AAUUGUCAAGAUUUUUUGGCAUCCUAAUUCUGUUAUCCAUCUCAUUAAAUAACCAUUCCUCCACUGGGUCAUCUGCAAAUCUGUAACCUGGGAGCUUGCUCUCUGGUGUGAGAUGCCCAAAUUAGGAGAAGGUACUUUCAUUUGUUAAUAGCAAGUCUCAUGACACAACCUCUCAUUUCAAUAGCUAUCUUCAAUUAUAAAAUUAUAAACAAACACUGUUCAUUAAUUUCCUAAUUAUCCUUCUUAACUCCAACCAUUUGCUGUCUGACCUCUAUGCUUGCCACGUACAAACAUUUACUCAGAGAGGAGCUGAAGACACCCAAGCUGCCAAGCUCCAUCUCUAAAGAGAAGCAAAGUGCUCAGAAGACAUUCACUCAUGGAACAUUCUGCCAGCCUUGUGGAAUCCAGGAGCUUUAAGCUAUUCUCAUGUAGAAAGAAGUGAAACUACCAGCAAAGACAAAGAAGCCCGUGUUUCCCGAGCAUUUCCACACAGAGGAGGACCCCAAAGCCCUCAGCUAUGAAACGUGUUGGAAACCAUGAACCUGGUGGCGGCGUCAGUGUGGGCCAGCAAUCGUUUUAGAUAACAUCGGGCAAUUGAUAAAUCCAAAUUCAACCCCAAGAGGCAAGCAAGAUUCACCAUGAUUUUGCUGCAGCUGAAAAGGUUCCUCCUGAUACAGUGUCUUGGCACGGUUGAUAUCUGGGGCUGGAUAACUCUGUUGUGGGUUGCUGUCCCGUGAACUGAAGGAUGUUUAGCAGCAUCCCUGCCCUCUCCCCACUAGGUGCCAUUGUAACAGUCAGAAACAUCUCCUGACAUUGCCAAAUGUCCUCCAAGGGGUAAAAUCACCCCAGUUGAGACCUGCUGCUUUAACUUGAAAGUUCAAGCCCUAAGCCUGAAACCCGAAUAUUUUCUUCCUGGCUGAAACUUGGAAAGAAAGGAAACUUGAAAGUAAAUAGUGGAUGAGCUCUCUUCCUCACAAAACCCAGAACACUGGCAGCCUUCAUUGUAAGGGCUUGCACGCUUCUGAAUCAGCUCACGGAAUUAUACAGCCCAAGAGUAAACCCUGAUGGAAACUAUGGAUGUCAGCUAACAAGAACGUAUCAAGAUUGGUUCUCCAGUUGUGACAAGUGUUCCAUGCCAAUGUAAGAUGUUAAUAACAGGGGAG